UGUUUUCCCAAAGUCUAUUAUGCUAGCGACAUAUAAAGAAACAAGUAGAAAAGUUCAACAAAAAAAGAGAAAAAACGGGAACAGUAACCCUUCGUUGCCUCUGAGUUCUCUCCAUCUCAAUCCAAAGUUCUCACUCAAUCCCGCUCAAUCGCUCUCUCAUGUAUCCAAACCUCUCUCUCUCAAAAUUGCUCACCAGCGAACCCUCUCUCACUCGAACUCAAAGAAAACUCCCUCUGCUCUCGCGUCCCCAACCUUCACCGUCAACCUUCGCUCAUCCUUCACAAUCCCUCACACAAUCGCCCAAAACCCUCUCACUCGCGCUCUCUCUAUCUCGACUCAACGUAUCUCUCUCGCCCUCAACCCCAUUCCCUAAUGCAUAAAACCCACAGCUUAAAGGAACCUGAAGUUUACCUCCGAUAGCGAUUUGGUAGUGACGAUGAACGAUGAAGCCAAAACUUCACUCUUUCGCCUCUCCGAUCCAGGUUAGGGUUUCAAUUGGUACUCAGAAGCUCAAAGAAGCAAAAAAUUCAGAAGUGCUUUUUUGGUGCUCAGAGUUGGAGUGCCUAUUUUGAUGAUUGGACUUGAGAAAGUGAAAAAAAAUGGAGCAUUCUUGGACAUAGGAAAUUCAUCUCUCAGUGAUGUUGAGUCUGUGUAUGUUCACUGCAGGUUACCAUGUUCCCAUGAGCAUUUUGGUCUAUAACCAUGGAGUUGGUUUGUUGUAUUUUGGUAACAGGUGAAUUGGUUCAUAGAUGCAUUGGUUCUAUUAUUGGAUUGUUUGCUGCAAGUGUAACGACGACAUCAGAGCUAUGACUGGGAUUCUGGAUGUCGAUUUCCAUUUGAUUUUGCUUAGGUACUUUAAGGGUCUUCAAUAUAUUUGAAUGUGUACCAUUUGAAGUGACACCAUCAAUUUCACCAGCAGUCCCUUUCCUGCUACUAAGAGCAUGAGCAGAUGGGUGAAGAGGGUUUCGCCGUUGACGAGGAACAAGAGAGGGUUAUUAACAAACAGGCUCGCCAAGUAUGUUCAGUUUUGUAUCCAUGUCACGUGCUGCUUGAUUUUCCAAAGAGCUCGACAGCAUGUGCGGAGGAGGCACGAGUCUGGCAGUCAACAACCACCAGUGUAUGUGGUGUUGGAUGCUGCAAUGGUUCCACUUGGGGAAGAUAUGGGAACACGUCCAGAUGCAAUAGCAGGUAACACUGCACAUUUCUCACCAGAAACAACAAUGGGCGCACUCUCUAUAGUUAAUGAUGAAUUGGAAUUCUCUACAGAGCAUUCUGAAAUCUUUUCCUGGUGAACUAUGGUCAUUCUCUACAUCUUUAGGAGACGGAGUCUCUUCAACAGAUUGAGCGAUUCCGGACUAUUUCACCCCGAAAUGACUGACUGAAGCUAAACUACAAGGUGGAGCUUUUAGCUCAGAAGUCGCUGAAGGUUUUGAAGUAAUGAAAUUUUCAACUCGGCUUUUGCUUAAGUAUAGAUCCACUAACAUGUUUGAGUUGGUAAGAGUACUCAAAAUCCUAUGAUCUGUUACGAAAACUCGAAUCUGAGACGAUGAAACUUUGCUCGGCUGAAGAAAUGCUUUCCAAGUGUCUCCUCUCUCAUGAUAGGAAAAAAAACCACCAAAGAUCCAGAACAUGAAAUUAAGAGAGAAGAGAUGAACAAGAGGAAGAAAAAAAAGCUUCCAUGGGUUUUUGUUUGGCUAAUGUGCAGGAUGAUCUAGUUCUAGAGAGAAAAUGACUGCAAGUAAUCCAUUUGUAUACUGCCAUUGAAUUUGCACCGAGGAAGGAUCUUCAACCUUGCGAUUGCUGAACUCACCUAUCAGUCCUUUUAUAGCCUCUUGAAAGAAAAGAACAGUGAUAAGUAUGCCAAAUAAAUCCCCUGCAAAUCUUGUAAAUCUAGUGAUAAUAUCGCAAGUAUUAAAAACUGCAAGCAAAAUUAACAUGAACGCCGUCCCAAAAACAAACCCAACCAGCCCAAGCUAGAAAGAGCUCAGCCCCCAAAUCAGGUGUAUUUUUGCAGAAAUUGUAGAGAUGAGUAUACAUUAUAACAGCAGGUUCCGCAACUCCUAAAAUCAACAAAGGCUGGCCACCUAUAAUUGAGUAGAUAACUCCACAAAUAGCAGUAGACGCUAAUGUUUCUACCGCGCUCAAGCUUCCAUUUUUCUGCAGCAGUAAACUCAGUUCCUCUAACUGUCUGUGGUUUGUUUCGACUGGUUUUGCAGGCUGUUGCUGCUGCUUGGUGGUAAAGUCAUGUUUGCUUAAUCUUGAAAUUGUUCCUCUUCUGGUUUACAGACGACUCAACCAUCGAAGUUGAAUUAACGGGUCUGCAGGAUGCCGCUCGGUUGUCUGGUAUGGGGUGAGUAAUCAUAAAAAAAUCAGACCCUGAUUCUGCUGUUGAUGAGCCACUGCGUCGCUCCUUUAAUGAUUGUAACUGAAAGGAGUCAAAAUUGUGCCGUUCAUUGGACGCCCUGGUGAUUUGCCUCACAAAAGUUCCCUCCGCAUUUACGUACAAGCUUCAUGAUAUUAUGAUCAUUCCAUGGACCCUUGUUAGUCCUAAGACACCCACCAUCACGGGAACAUGUACACGAACCACCUAGAAAAUUCGGCAACUGACUAGAGUCGAUGACUUCCUGUAAUUUAUAUAGAGACUUAGAUUCAGGAAUCUGUAUCUUUGCAGUAGUUUUGGGAUCAAGAAAUUUCUGUGCAGCAGGCCAAAGCAUCCUCUUAAAGCCAGUACCAGCAUUCACAAUGUGCAUUUGAUGUAAUGUCUCAGGAUAGUAGCAGCUAUCUAUUUUAGCUAUGGAAGACAAGAGAUUUGUUGCAGUAUGUGCCUUUUUUAGAGUCAAAAUGAACUAGUAACUCAAAAAGGAGUAUACCUAGGCGGUAAAUGUUUGAUGAUGUAAUGUAAUGCUUAUUAUAUGUAAUAAGAAUACACAAAAUUUGGAUCCUUGAUGUAACUUGGAACAAAUGUAGUAAUGGAUUAUGCAGACUUCUGACAGGAAUAUGAACAACCCUUGAAUGUUA